CGCGCGCAGGACGGGACGCCAGGGUUUGUGUGGGGGCAGCUCGGAGAGGUACGAGGGUCCUAGGACAGGUUUGAGAGGCCCCUCUGCCUAUUUCCCCUCCAGCGCCUGGGGGCGCCCUCUAGCCCCAGAGACCCGCCUCUUAGCUCUUCUUUUCCUAAAACCCAGCCCCGCAGCCCUCGCCGGACCCAGGGGUAGGGAGGAGGUCCCAGGGAAGAACCUGGUUGCCAAAGUCUCGGCCAGUUGGAGAAGAGAUGGGUCUCCCGAGGAUACCCAAGCCCAAGCUCUACACUGUCCCAAGGUGGUUUGUUUUUCUUCUUUCUUCUAUUGGUCUGGACCUUGUAUAUUCUGGGAGGAGGUGAUUAAGGCCAAAUUGCCUUAAGUGGCCAUCCAGCCAGAAGCUGGAAGAAGGGAAGGAUGAGAGGGAAUGAACUGUUGUGUUACGGCUAUUGAGAGAAACAGUGGCAAUACACAGCCAAAGCCCUGAGUUUCUAAUACGGCGCCACCUCUUAUGAGCUGUGAGAUCUUGGGCAAAGUAACUAACCUUUAAGUAUUUGUCUGUAGAAUUGAGAUUGAAAUACUUAUCUUUGCCAGAAUUGUUAUAAGAAUUAAAUGAGUUGAAAGUGUUUCAUCAAGUGUGCAAUGCUACUCAAGUAGGAGGGACUAAGCUACUUCCUUCUCUCACUGCUUGACUGAGCUUCUCUCCAGCCCCACCCCCUGAUGUUUACUGCUUAUGGAGAAAGAGAUUAAGUGAAGCAGGCCCACACAUUCAUGAAGGUGGAAGGAAGAUGUAGCAGGAGAUGGUGGAGAGGGAAACAGAGGAAGACAGGAUGACAGACGUGGGGAGGAAAGGCUGAGCGAGGCAAUGUCCUGACUCACUCUGGCGCUUCCCUCUUUCCCAUCUGGGCUCCAGAGUCUCUGCCCUCAUUCCCCUUCACCAGGUUGCUCAACCCUCCAUCAGACUGUUAGGUCAAGGGUGGACAAACAGACCAACCGGGAUCUGGAUGGCCCCUGGGCAGUACUGACUUCCCCUACCAUUCCCAUGGCAAGAAAAGGGAGUGAUUCCACUAGCAGACUCCCCUACCCUGCAGUGAGACAGCCUGUAGGAAGGUGAGACUCAGACCCCAAGGUUUCUGCUUUUGCUUUGUUCCUUCGAGAUCUCCAUUCCCCCAUGGGAGAGAAACCUCUCUGUCCCACCUGCCCUCCCCUCCCAUCAGCUUUCAGAUUCUCCAGCUGCUCCUCUUCUGAGACUCACCCAGUCUCAUGCCUCCAUUAGCCUCAACUCCCGACCCAUGGCCUGUGGUGAGAGGUGCUAACAACAUGACCUGCUUUCAUCUUGACCUUCCCAGCCCACCCAGAGAAAAGGGAAUCUUGGCUAAAAAAAGGCUGGAAGAGGGGAGAACCCUGGCACUGCGGGUGGGGCUGGGAGGAGCCCAGGCAACCUUACUGGUGAGAAUCUCAUGGCUCUUCAAGGUGAAUAUGAUGAUGAUUUCCCUGGGGUUUCUUUCAAUACUCAGAAGCCGCCCCGAGUUGGAAAGCACAUGCAUACUUGGGGAGGCCAGGGGAGGAAAAGGGGGGCGGCUCACUCUGACAGUAAAUGAAGAAAGUGGAAACAAAUUCAAGGAGCAGGCAGAGCUCCCGGUUUCACCAGAGCCCAACGGUUGGUAAUAAGGAUGAGAACAAUGUGCCUUCACUUCCUGGGAUCAGAACAGCACAUGGCCGCACAUGUACGGGUAUGCAUGUGCUUCCAUAAUCAUAUACUUUCCCAGCUUCUACUCUGCCUGUGGUCUAAUUUCAACUCCUUCAGCUGCUGUACCCACCCAUAAAAUUAUGAGUGUAAAAGCACUUUGCAAACCCUGAUACUCUAUGAAGAAGUAAAAAGUAGUGCUGUAAUUAUUAUCAUUAUUAUGUCCAAUGGUUGAGGUUUCCGCUGCCCACCUGUCAGCUAUGUGAGGCCUAAAGAGAGGGAGGGCUAGGCCAUUCCUCAGCUUCUGAGGUUCCUGGCCCUUUUCCCCUUCCAUCUGUCCACAGCUGACUGCUAAGCUGGAUGCGUAGGGGAAAGCAGAGAAAAGGUGAUUUACUGGGACACAGAGACACAGGCUGGAAGAGAUAGCAUGUGUUUCCUUAAAAUUUGAAGCAUUUGGCUGGGCACAGUGGCUCACACCUGUAAUCCCUGCACUUUGGGAGGUAAAGGCAAGAGGAUUUCCUGGGCCCAAGAGUUAGAGGCUGCAGUGAGCUAUGAUUGUGCCAUUGUACUCCAGCCUGGGAGACAGAAACCCCCUCUCUUAAAAAAAUAAAAAAAUAAAAAAUGGAACCAUUGCUCUGAGUUUCUAAUAGGGGGAGU
rnacentral:lncRNA from 1 species